rnacentral:scRNA from 1 species
GAGCGGCCUUGCCUUUGCCGGUGGCGGUGGC